rnacentral:sRNA from 1 species
UGAUACGUUUCUAGCGGACGAGUUGC